UCUCCGUAGGUGAACCUGCGGAGGGAUCAUUACCGAGCUCAUGCCCUUACGGGUAGAUCUCCCACCCUGUGUUAUUAUUACCUUUGUUGCUUUGGCGGGCCGCCAGGCUCCGGUCAGGCUAUCGGCUUCGGCUGGUAAGCGCCCGCCAGAGGACCCUAUAUCCUGAUUAUUAGUGUCGUCUGAGUACUAUAUAGUAGUUAAAACUUUCAACAACGGAUCUCUUGGUUCUG
rnacentral:misc_RNA from 1 species